rnacentral:rRNA from 1 species
UACGGGGGGGGCAAGCGUUGUUCGGAAUUACUGGGCGUAAAGGGCUCGUAGGCGGCCAACUAAGUCGGACGUGAAAUCCCCAGGCUCAACCUGGGAACUGCGUCCGAUACUGGAUGGCUUGAAUCCGGGAGAGGGAUGCAGAAUUCCAGGUGUAGCGGUGAAAUGCGUAGAUAUCUGGAGGAAUACCGGUGGCGAAGGCGGCAUCCUGGACCGGCACUGACGCUGAGGAGCGAAAGCAUGGGGAGCGAACAGG